AACGAACGCUGGCGGCAGGCCUAACACAUGCAAGUCGAACGCCCCGCAAGGGGAGUGGCAGCCGGGUGAGUAACACGUGGGAACCUUCCCUAUAGUACGGAAUAGCCCAGGGAAACUUGGAGUAAUACCGUAUACGCCCGAAAGGGGAAAGAAUUUCGCUAUAGGAUGGGCCCGCGUAGGAUUAGCUAGUUGGUGAGGUAAUGGCUCACCAAGGCGACGAUCCUUAGCUGGUUUGAGAGAACGACCAGCCACACUGGGACUGAGACACGGCCCGGCCUCCUGGGGGAGGCGGCGGGGGGGAAUAUUGAAAAGGGGGCGAAGGCUAGACCCACCUCGGCCGGGUGAGUAAUGAAGCCUUGAGGGUUAAAAAGCUUUUUGGGCGGGAGCUUUAAUGACGUUCCCCAAAGAAUAAGCCCCGGCUAACUUCGUG
rnacentral:rRNA from 1 species